CGCGGUAUUUUGACUGUGCGAAGGUAGCAUAAUCAUUUGUCUUUUAAUUGAAGACUUGUAUGAAUGGCUGAACGAGAAAAUAACUGUCUCUUUAAAAAAUCUUGAAUUUUACUUUUAAGUGAAAAGGCUUAAAUAAUUUUAAGGGACGAUAAGACCCUAUAAAUCUUUAUAUUAUUUUCUUUAUCUUUCAAAUUAUAUAUUAAAAGAAAAAAAAAAAAAAAAUAUUAUAUUGGGGAGAUAAAAAUAUAAUUUUUAACUGUUUUAAAUACAAAACAAUAAUUUUUGCUUUAUUAAAAAUUGAUCCUUUUUAAAGAUUUUAAGAUUAAGUUACUUUAGGGAUAACAGCGUAAUUUUUUUUGAGAGUUCUUAUCGAAAAAAAAGUUUGCGACCUCGAUGUUGAAUUAAAAAUAUCCUUAUAAGUGCAGAAGCUAUAAAGGAAAGUCUGUUCGACUUUUAAAAUUUUACGU
rnacentral:rRNA from 1 species